AGCGAACGCUGGCGGCAGGCCUAACACAUGCAAGUCGAACGAACUCUUCGGAGUUAGUGGCGGACGGGUGAGUAACACGUGGGAACGUGCCUUUUGGUUCGGAAUAACUCAGGGAAACUUGUGCUAAUACCGAAUGUGCCCUUCGGGGGAAAGAUUUAUCGCCAUUAGAGCGGCCCGCGUCUGAUUAGCUAGUUGGUGAGGUAACGGCUCACCAAGGCGACGAUCAGUAGCUGGUCUGAGAGGAUGACCAGCCACACUGGGACUGAGACACGGCCCAGACUCCUACGGGAGGAAGCAGUGGGGAAUCUUGCGCAAUGGGCGAAAGCCUGACGCAGCCAUGCCGCGUGAAUGAUGAAGGUCUUAGGAUCGUAAAAUUCUUUCACCGGGGACGAUAAUGACGGUACCCGGAGAAGAAGCCCCGGCUAACUUCGUG
rnacentral:rRNA from 1 species